UGCACCAUAACUUUGGAUGCCAACCGCCGAUAAACCCCACCGAAGAAGAAAACGAAUCAACUCAGGGCUGUCAAAACCCAGAAGGGAAAUGUAAGGGGCCUUGGAAGAAGUCCCCAGCCUCUGUCUCCAGCAUUCCCAAACUCUUCCACUUGACUGGCUUCUUGGAACAGAACAGCUUUAAAGAGCCAUGGUGGCCUAAGGAGAUCGAACAAGCCAAUAGAAGGAUGAUACCUAAUUAGAUAAGGUUUGAAUGGCCACGGUGACACUGUGAAUACAACUGUUUAACUGAUUGCAUCAUCACCAUUCUGAGUGCUGCCCUCCUCCCAGACAGAGAGACAAUAGCACAUUGUUUAACAAACUAUCACUUAUUAUGCUAUUGUUGUCUGUGUUCCAAACCAUGUCAUCACUAUUGUCUGUGUUCUAAACCCGUCAUCACUAUUGUUGUCUGUAUUCCAAACCCUGUCAUCACUAUUGUUGUCUGUAUUCCAAACCCUGU